UUUUUUUUGUGUUUUGUU
rnacentral:sRNA from 1 species